GACGUAGGGCGCAAGCGUUGUCCGGAUUUAUUGGGCGUAAAGAGCUCGUAGGCGGCUUGUCGCGUCGACCGUGAAAACCUAAGGCUCAACCUUGGGCUUGCAGUGGGUACGGGCAGACUAGAGUGCGGUAGGGGUGACUGGAAUUCCACAAGUAGCGGUGAAAUGCGUAGAUAUGUGGAAGAACACCAGUGGCGAAGGCGGAUUUUCUAGUUUAUACCUGACGCUGAGGCGCGAAAGCAAGGGGAGCAAACAGG
rnacentral:rRNA from 1 species